UGUGUGUGUAUGCACCCCCACACACAUUGUUAUAUAUAGAGUAUGUUUUGGAACUUGAAAACCCAAUUCCUCAGUGCACAGUCUCAGAAUCACACUGAGUUUCGAUGACAGGAUUAGAAAUACUCACACAACUCCAUGCUAAGUGGGCAGCUGUGCCUGGCUUACCUGCCGUCUGUUUCUCUUUAUCAUAUGGGCAUCAAAGCAGGAUAGCUUAGCACCCUGGUCUCAAGGCUUGCUCAAAAAAAAAAAAAUG
rnacentral:lncRNA from 1 species